CCUACGGGAGGCAGCAGUGGGAAUAUUGCGCAAUGGGGGAAACCCUGACGCAGCAACGCCGCGUGAGUGAGGAAGGACUUCGGUCUGUAAAGCUCUGUUAAUGUGGAAAAAUGGUAGUUGGUCUAAUAGGCCGAUUAUUUGAUGGUACACAUAGAGGAAGCACCGGCUAACUUCGUGCCAGCAGCCGCGGUAAUACGAAGGGUGCAAGCGUUGUUCGGAUUUAUUGGGCGUAAAGCGCGCGUAGGCGGACCUGCAAGUCAGAUGUGAAAUCUCGGGGCUCAACCUCGAAACUGCGUCUGAAACUACAGGUCUAGAAUCUUGGAGGGGAAGGGAAUUUCUCAUGUAGGGGUAAAAUCCGUAGAUAUGAGAAGGAACACCAGAGGCGAAGGCGCCUUCCUGGACAAGUAUUGACGCUGAGGCGCGAAAAGCGUGGGGAUCAAACAGGAUUAGAUACCCUGGUAGUCCACGCUAGUAACGAAUAGAAUAACUAGUAUAUUAGUCGAGGAGUUAGUACCCGACCGCGAGUGUGUAGUACGUAACGUAACGUUAACGUUAAGUUACCGUUCCCGUCCGGGUAAGGGUAACGGGUACGGUCGAACGAAACGUAAAACCGUAAAACGUAAACGAAAGUAAGUAGGACGNGAGAGAGACGACGACGACGACGAGGAGGGAGGAG
rnacentral:rRNA from 1 species